UACGUAGGGUGCAAGCGUUAAUCGGAAUUACUGGGCGUAAAGCGUGCGCAGGCGGUUUUGUAAGUCAGAUGUGAAAUCCCCGGGCUUAACCUGGGAACUGCGUUUGAAACUACAAGGCUAGAGUGUGGCAGAGGGGGGGUGGAAUUCCACGUGUAGCAGUGAAAUGCGUAGAGAUGUGGAGGAACACCGAUGGCGAAGGCAGCCCCCUGGGUUAACACUGACGGCUCAGGCACGAAAGCGUGGGGAGCAAACAGG
rnacentral:rRNA from 1 species